rnacentral:rRNA from 1 species
CUGACACAGGUGCUGCAUGGCUGUCGUCAGCUCGGUGUCGUGAGAUGUUGGGUUAAGUCCGUAACGAGCGCAACCCUUGUCCUUAGUUACCAGCACGUUAUGGUGGGCACUCUAAGGAGACUGCCGGUGACAAACCGGAGGAAGGUGGGGAUGACGUCAAGUCAUCAUGGCCCUUACGGCCUGGGCUACACACGUGCUACAAUGGUCGGUACAAAGGGUUGCCAAGCCGCGAGGUGGAGCUAAUCCCAUAAAACCGAUCGUAGUCCGGAUCGCAGUCUGCAACUCGACUGCGUGAAGUCGGAAUCGCUAGUAAUCGUGAAUCAGAAUGUCACGGUGAAUACGUUCCCGGGCCUU